GCGUGCUUAACACAUGCAAGUCAAGGGGGCCCAGCAAUGGGCAACCGGCGAACGGGUGCGUAACACGUGAGCAACCUACCGAACUGUGGGGGAUAGCCGGCCUAACGGCCGAGUAAUACCGCAUACGCUCUCAGUGAGGCAUUUCAUUGAGAGGAAACCUACGGGACAGAUCGAGGGGCUCGCGGCCUAUCAGCUAGUUGGCGAGGUAACGGCUCACCAAGGCAACGACGGGUAGCUGGUCUGAGAGGAUGGCCAGCCACAUUGGGACUGAGAUACGGCCCAGACUCCUACGGGAGGCAGCAGUGGGGAAUCUUGCGCAAUGGCCUAACGGCUGACGCAGCGACGCCGCGUGUGGGAUGAAGCUCUUCGGAGUGUAAACCACUGUUGCCCGGGACGAACAGCUCGAUUAAUCGAGCCUGACGGUACCGGGUGAGGAAGCACCGGCUAACUCCGUGCCAGCAGCCGCGGUAAUACGGGGGGUGCGAGCGUUGUCCGGAAUCACUGGGCGUAAAGGGCGCGUAGGUGGUUUGAUAAGGGUGUGGUGAAAGUCCGGGGCUCAACCCCGGAUCUGCCGUGCCGACUGUCAAACUCGAGGACUGUAGAGGCAGACGGAAUUCCGGGUGUAGCGGUGGAAUGCGUAGAGAUCCGGAGGAAGACCGGUGGCGAAGGCGGUCUGCUGGGCAGUUUCUGACACUGAGGCGCGACAGCGU
rnacentral:rRNA from 1 species